GUCGCCGCCAAAUCGGCGACCGGGUUUUGCAGCCCGAAUCCAGAGGCGCACAAGCGCCCAUCGCACGAUGUAUGGCGCUUUUUGU
rnacentral:sRNA from 1 species